AAAUAAUUUGUGAGAUGGAUGCUAUUUUAUCAUGUAAGCAAAGUUAACAGCGAUUACAAGAUAAACAAAAUCCAGUUACAACUCCGAACCGCUAGAUGGCAGCAGUACACAAACACGAGGCCAAAUCUCACGAGAAAGAUUUCCGCUGUUUGAAAAGCAACAACAUCAGCGAGCAGCCAUGAGGAAAGCAAUCUACCACACUCGUUUCGUUUUGUGUCAAAGCUGUGCGAAACUGGAGGGAGAAACUUGAGAGACCGUGCCGGAAGAAUGCUGGACAGAGUUCACUAAAAUUCAUUAAUUUCAAAGUUCAACAUGCAUGGUGGUGGUCCACUGCAGAAGCAAGCAUUUGAAAAAACAUCAGUUCUCAGUUAUUAAAGAUGCUGUGUUGAACAACUUCCCAGCAGCAACAGAACUGGACGUGAAGGAUGCAAUGGGGGCAUUUCAAACAGUCACCAGGGAGCACGGGGGGGG